rnacentral:tRNA from 1 species
CAGGAAAUAGUUUAUAAAAAUAUUAAUUUUGGAGAUUAAAGAAAAAGAUAAUGUCUUUUUUCCUGA